rnacentral:rRNA from 1 species
AUACGGAGGGUGCAAGCGUUAUUCGGAAUCACUGGGCGUAAAGGACGCGUAGGCGGGUUGGCAAGUCAGAUGUGAAAUCCUACAGCUUAACUGUAGAACUGCAUUUGAAACUGCUAACCUAGAGUAUGGGAGGGGGAGAUGGAAUUAGUGGUGUAGGGGUAAAAUCCGUAGAUAUCACUAGGAAUACCGAAAGCGAAGGCGAUCUGCUGGAACAUAACUGACGCUAAGGCGUGAAAGCGUGGGGAGCAAACAGGAUUAGAAACCCUAGUAGUCC